rnacentral:rRNA from 1 species
GAUGAACGCUGGCGGCGUGCCUAAUACAUGCAAGUCGAGCGAACAGACGAGGAGCUUGCUCCUCUGACGUUAGCGGCGGACGGGUGAGUAACACGUGGAUAACCUACCUAUAAGACUGGGAUAACUUCGGGAAACCGGAGCUAAUACCGGAUAACAUGUUGAACCGCAUGGUUCAACAGUGAAAGACGGUUUUGCUGUCACUUAUAGAUGGAUCCGCGCCGCAUUAGCUAGUUGGUAAGGUAACGGCUUACCAAGGCAACGAUGCGUAGCCGACCUGAGAGGGUGAUCGGCCACACUGGAACUGAGACAGGGUCCAGACUCCUACGGGAGGCAGCAGUAGGGAAUCUUACGCAAUGGGCGAAAGCCUGACGGAGCAACGCCGCGUGAGUGAAGAAGGUCUUCGGAUCGUAAAACUCUGUUAUUAGGGAAGAACAAAUGUGUAAGUAACUAUGCACGUCUUGACGGUACCUAAUCAGAAAGCCACGGCUAACUACGUG